rnacentral:rRNA from 1 species
UACGAGGGGGGCAAAUGUUGUUCGGAAUCACUGGGCGUAAAGGGCGCGUAGGCGGGUUCUUAAGUAAGGUGUUUAAUCCCGGGGCCCAACCCCGGACCGGCAUUUUAAACUGGGAAUCUUGAAUAGUGGAGAGGUCGGUGGAAUUGGAGGUGUAGCGGUGGAAUGCGUAGAGAUCUCCAAGAACACCAGUUGCGAAGGCGGCCGACUGGACACAUAUUGACGCUGAGGCUCGAAAGCAUGGGGAGCAAACAGG